UAGACUCCAAAGGAACUAGCAGAAAAGAGAGGAGCAACAUCUUUGUUCAUACAGCACUCAAAGCAAAGUUUUAGAGUGAUUCCUUCGAGGAUUUAGUUUUGGUUUUCAAGUAGCAUGGUCCUGGCAGUCUGGCAGAUAGUAUAGAGGCAGUUUAUGAGGUUAUGGACAACUGCAGGCUUUAGAAUGACAGAAAAAAACAUACAAGGGUGAGAUAUUGGAGGAAGCUGAAACGGUCAAGAGAGUACAGUCCGUUAGUAGAGCAAAGAAGUUGAACAGAAACCGCUCCUCAGCAUGUAGACAAAAUGUCUGGCCGUCAAAAGGGCCUUGAAACACGCGUCACGUCAGGAUUCUUCUCCGCUUCUGCAGGAGCGUCCCCAAUACCGGCCGCUUGGAGGAUUUGCCGGCAACAGCAAGUGCACCUCCAAAUGUCGUAGUCGUAGCUCUCGAUUACAACAUCAUUAGCCCAUAUUUCUUUCUGUAUUAGUUUGCUUAUAGAUAAAUUCUGUUUUCUCCUUCCUCGCUUCGCUUCUCCGUGGUGAGGAUCUAUGCUUAUCGAGAGGCAGUCCUUUUAGAAACAUUUGUCCUAAUAACCUUUGAGACUCGAACUCGGGUAGCAAGUGCCACCGGAUGGACAGGGCAGGGAUCUGUCAAAACGUGUCGUCUGCCGAUAAUGGACUAGGGCCUUAUUUAGUUGCUAAAGUUUGGAGUUACCAAAGUUUGGAGAUGACAAAUUACUGUUACAGCACUGUAG
rnacentral:lncRNA from 1 species